AGAAAUUAUUGCAUCACUACUUACAUCAAAAUAUCCUAGUUCAUCUCCCAACAAAAGAAAACGACCAUCAAAGGGGAAUUUCGUCGCGAGUAGUACUCCUUCUGCUGAUCAAGUAUUAUACCAUCUAGAGCAGUAUAGAAGAAGUUGCAGGCAUGGUACAGGUACUGGCCUUUACGUUCAUGAUAUGAUGCAGCGGGCACUGCAAUCCGCGCACUCUCACAGUAAUGAGGUCACAAAGAAACAAUUUAGCGAUCUGUUUGCACUGGCAGCGGAAGACGAUACAACAGCAGUUGGGCGACGCGGUGGAAGUGGCCGUGGGCGUAAGCAGCCUGUUGGAAAAAAGGAUGCCAACAAUCAUAGCACCACCAAUAAGAAGAAUUCUGAAAUGAUGAAAACAAUAUACUCUUC